rnacentral:rRNA from 1 species
UGGGGAAUUUUGGGCAAUGGGGGAAACCCUGACCCAGCAACGCCGCGUGAAGGAUGAAGUAUUUCGGUAUGUAAACUUCGAAAGAAUAGGAAGAAUAAAUGACGGUACUAUUUAUAAGGUCCGGCUAACUACGUGCCAGCAGCCGCGGUAAUACGUAGGGACCAAGCGUUGUUCGGAUUUACUGGGCGUAAAGGGCGCGUAGGCGGCAUGACAAGUCACUUGUGAAAUCUCUGGGCUUAACCCAGAACGGCCAAGUGAUACUGUCGCGCUAGAGUGCAGAAGGGGCAAUCGGAAUUCUUGGUGUAGCGGUGAAAUGCGUAGAUAUCAAGAGGAACACCUGAGGUGAAGACGGGUUGCUGGGCUGACACUGACGCUGAGGCGCGAAAGCCAGGGGAGCAAACGGGAUUAGAUACCCUGUAGUCCCUGAGCGGGCUGGCAAGGCGCAU